AAUAAUGUGCUAAAAUUGAAGUGUUUUUUCGAAAAAUUUAGUUUUAAGUGUUAAUAAAUUAAAAAAAGUUUUUGAAAUGAUUAUUAUACAUAGAAAAAAGUGUAGUUUAUAUGUAUAUUUGGUGGUGUUUCUGCGAGUCCUUUAUUUUAUGGCAAAUUAAGAAAAAAGUUGCAAUUUCAUGGUGUGCUUGAAAAAAAUGCUAAAAAGCUUAAGAUAGAAGAGGAAGAAGAGAAAGUGCUGAUGGUUGAAACAUCUUUUGAAAACAAAAGGUCAAGAUAUUAUCAAACUCCUUCCAAAUAAUAUAGAUGGUAUAUAGAAGUCAUUGUAAAGUAAGAUCUUGAGCAAGUACAAGUUAUUGACAAGUUGUUGCUGG